AUUGAACGCUGGCGGCAUGCCUAACACAUGCAAGUCGAACGGCAGCGCGAGGAAGCUUGCUUCCUUGGCGGCGAGUGGCGGACGGGUGAGUAAUGCAUAGGAAUCUGCCCAGUAGCGGGGGACAACUCGGGGAAACUCGAGCUAAUACCGCAUACGCCCUACGGGGGAAAGCAGGGGAUCUUCGGACCUUGCACUAUUGGAUGAGCCUAUGUCUGAUUAGCUUGUUGGUGGGGUAAAAGCCUACCAAGGCAACGAUCAGUAGCUGGUCUGAGAGGACGAUCAGCCACACUGGGACUGAGACACGGCCCAG
rnacentral:rRNA from 1 species